rnacentral:rRNA from 1 species
GACGAACGCUGGCGGCGUGCUUAACACAUGCAAGUCGAACGGUGAAGGGGUCUGCUUUUGUGGGCCCUGGAUGAGUGGCGCACGGGUGAGUAACACGUGAGUAACCUGCCCCCUUCUUCUGGAUAACCGCAUGAAAGUGUGGCUAAUACGGGAUAUUCUGGGUCUGUCGCAUGAUGGGUCUGGGAAAGAUUGCGCCUUUGGGUGUUUUUGGUGGGGGAUGGGCUCGCGGCCUAUCAGCUUGUUGGUGGGGUGAUGGCCUACCAAGGCGGUGACGGGUAGCCGGCCUGAGAGGGUGGACGGUCACACUGGGACUGAGACACGGCCCAGACUCCUACGGGAGGAAGCAGUGGGGAAUAUUGCACAAUGGGCGCAAGCCUGAUGCAGCGACGCCGCGUGAGGGAGGGAGGCCUUCGGGUUGUAAACCUCUUUCGCCAGUGAAGCAGGCCUGCUCCUUGUGGGUGGGUUGACGGUAGCUGGAUAAGAAGCGCCGGCUAACUACGUG